GACGAACGCUGGCGGCGUGCUUAACACAUGCAAGUCGAGCGGAAAGGCCCUGCGGGGUACUCGAGCGGCGAACGGGUGAGUAACACGUGAGUAACCUGCCCCAGACUUUGGGAUAACCCUCGGAAACGGGGGCUAAUACCGGAUACGACACAGCAUCGCAUGGGGUCUGUGUGGAAAGUUUUUCGGUUUGGGAUGGGCACGCGGCCUAGCAGCUUGUUGGUGGGGUGAUGGCAUAGCAGGGCGACGACGGGAAGCCGGCCUGAGAGGGCGACCGGCCACACUGGGACUGAGACACGGCCCAGACUCCUACGGGAGGCAGCAGUGGGGAAUAUUGCACAAUGGGCGGAAGCCUGAUGCAGCGACGCCGCGUGAGGGAUGACGGCCUUCGGGUUGUAAACCUCUUUCAGCAGGGACGAAGCGUAAGUGACGGUACCUGCAGAAGAAGCGCCGGCCAACUACGUG
rnacentral:rRNA from 1 species